GAACUGGGUUUGUUUAGUUUGGAGAAGAGAAGACUGAGAGGGGACAUGAUAGCACUUUUCAGCCUGUGACUGUGGCAUGAACAAAGAGGAACAAAACAGGAACCGCCCAAGGAAGGACCAGGCCAUAAAUUAAAGAGAGCAAAGACAAUGCUUCCAAGGGUUUGGUUUAACAAACCAACUGCAACUUCCCCUUGGCUCAGGGAAAACCGCGAAGGAAGGAAACACACCAGGCUGGGGGAGGAGUGAUAGGAGUGAUGCCAAACUCAGCAGCAAGGAUUGGAAUAAGCCUGGGCCGGAUGUGAGAAGAGUCGUUACCAUGGAGAGCUCUCUAGCACCCACCUCACAGAGACUGUACAAAUCUUCAGCCAGAAAAUCACUCUGGUCACCCACCAGAAGAUCCACUCCCAGGCAGGGCCCUACAUCUGCACUGCCUGCGGGAAGAGCGGCAUCACCGACAGGAGCGUGGCCACACACAGGAGGAGAUACACGGGCAAGCAGCUGUUAGUCUGUGCCCAGUGUGGGAAGAGCUUCACCUGGAAGGAGAACCUCACGAUGCACCAGAGGAGCCACACAGGCCAGAGGCCCUAUGCCUGCAGGGAGUGCUUUGUGCACAAAAAGACCCCUAGGACACACUGGCUGGUCUACCUGCAGGAGACUCCCCCAUAAGUGCAGCAGCCAGUGUGGGAAGUGGUUUGUUAAGGUCUCCUUGGCCAUGCCCCAGAGGAUACACCAGGACGAACAGCCCUACAUGUGCCCCAGGUAAAGCGAAAGCUUCCCGCAUAAAAAACCCCUCAAGAUGCACCCGGGACUGCCGUGGGAAAGAGGCCGCACUACCACCUCAGCCGGCUCUUACGCCACCGCCGAGAAUCCACAUAAAAGAGGAGCUGGAUGCACAUGAUGGACAGCAAGUAAGCCUUGGUGUGGUGAGGAGUACGGUGCCCCAGAGGGCUCAGCUCGGUGAGGGUGAGACCCACAGCACUGAGAACAACUUCAGUCCCAUCAUAGCAGGAAUCCGCCCAGCAGGAGGCUGUUACGUAUGUACUGAGCACGAGGAUCGGUUCCAGACGGCUGGAAACCUCCCAGCCCACCAGACAGUUCGCCCAGCCAGGCGGCCACAUGAGAGCAGGGACUGUGGAGGUCACUCGGGUCCAGGGGUAGCUCAGCCAAUAAGCGGUGCACUGGGAAAAUCACUGGCCGAGAACGGGGAAGGGCUGGCUCUCAGAGGAAGUCAUUAGACCUGGAAGAAAGCCCAGGUGGGGAAGAGGGUGUACACGUGCACCAGCAUGGGGAGAAGUUCACCUCACCACACAUGCGCUGACCCACAGGCAGGACAGGCCCCAUGAAGGCAGCGCCUGCAGCGAAGGCUUCAUUGAGAGGUCGCGGCUCGUGAUACGCCAGCGGAUCCACAUGGACGAGACACCCGAUUGGUGCAACAUGUGAGAGAAGAGCUUCAACCAGAAAAAUGAUCAUCACCCCAGCGCAGCCAUGCCCAGGAGAGGCCCUUUGCCUGUCUUCAGUGUGGGAGGGGCUCACAGCUCAUGGCACCCCAAAAGGGCUGCAUGGGCGAACGGCCACUCCCAGCUGCUGAGUGAGGGAAGAGCUUCAGUCAGGAGCUGAUCAGAGGCUCCAUACUAGGGCGGAGGCGGGUCAUAUGCACGGGGCCCCGUGGGGAGUCUAAAGAUGCCCCAGCAGCCCAACAGAGGGGCGAGGGCUCACAUAGGUCUGGCGCGUGGGAGGAACGCCACUCAGAAAUCGAGCUUCAACAGGCACCAAGAGGUCCCCGCGUGCAGUAUCAAGUGGUGAUGGCAAAGAUCAUUGCCAUUGCUUCUGAUGUCCUGCAGAGCCCGGCUGCUCCGGUGAGAUCCCUCCCAGGAGGUAAGGGUGGGUUGUAGCAGAGAUCUCUGCAACGGAUAUCCCCCCUUUGGGCUCUCAGCAAAGCAGCAAGUUACUCAGUGUGGAACUGCACUGUGCCGUGAUUUCCAUUGCAUAUGAACCAGAUAACCCAGACCCAGCACAGAACUAGGGACCUCCACAGGGCAUUGAUAUUUUGCAUCUGUGAGGUUUUCCUGAACUCCUAUAAUAAAAUGUAACAUAUUUCUCUCAGCAUCUGCUGCUUAAAUAUGGUGUAAAUACAAUGUAAAAUUAACAUGGCACACAUUCAAUGGAUUAAAGACUGGCUAAUUGAUAGGUCUCAAAAUGAAAUUGUAAAUGGGGAAUCAUCAUCAAGUGGGCCUGUUUCCAGUGGGGUCCCGCAGUGAUCGGUUUUUGGCCCUACGCUACUUAACAUUUUUAUCAGUGAGCUGGAAUUAAACAUAAAUUCAUCACUGAUGAAGUUUUCAGAGGAUAUAAAAAUUGGGGGAAUGGUAAAUAAUGAAAAGUGAUCUUGAUUGCUUGGUAAACUGGGCACAAGCAAACAGUUUGCAUUUUAAUAUGACUAAAUAGAAAUGUCUCUAGCUAGGAACAACGAAUGUGGACCAUCCUUACAGGAUGGGGGAACUCUCUCCUGGGAAGCAGUGAUGAUGAAAAAGAUUUGAGGGUCAUGGUGGAUAAUCA